AAUAAGAAAGGGAUAAAGAGUUGGCUUACAAUCGCCACUUCACACAAAUAACAAGUUAACAUACAUCAUACAGAGUACAACCAAGGUCCGACUACGGAACCAAAAUAAAAGAAGACAACCCCAAAUGCUAGAUCCUCGAUCGUCCCAACUGGGCACCACUACUGAUCAUCCGGAAAAGACAAAUAACAACGACCAAGAUCUUCACCGAGCUCCCACUUGAGCUCGGUAGCAUCACCUGCACUGGUAUCAUCGGUACCUGCAACUGUUUGGAAGUAUUCGUGAGUCACGAGGACUCAGCAAUCUCACACCCGCGAGAUCAAGACUAUUUAAGCUUAUGGGUAGGGUAAGGUAAGGAGGUGGAGAUACAACAAGCACUAAGCAUAUGUGGUGGCUAACAUACGCAAAUAAGAACAAGAAGAGAAGCAACGCAACGGCCGAGAAGCUAGAAGUGAUCCUAAAACUACUUACUUUCAAGCAUAACACAAGACCGUGUUCACUUCCCGGACUCUGCCGAAAAGAGACCAUCAUGGCUACACACGCGGUUGAUGCAUUUUAAUUAAGUUAAGUGUCAAGUUCUCUACAACCGAACAUUAACAAAUUCCCAUCUGCCACAUAACCGCGGGCACGGUUUUCGAAAGUUUAUAACCUGUAGGGGUGUCCCAACUUAGCCCAUCACAAGCUCUCACGGUCAACGAAGGAUAUUCCUUCUCCCGGAAAGACCCGAUCAGCCUCGGAAUCCCGGUUACAAGACAUUUCGACAAUGGUAAAACAAGACCAGCAAGACCGCUCGAAUGUGCCGACAAAUCCCGAUAGGAGCUGCACAUAUCUCGUUCUCAGGGCACACCAGAUGGGCAAGACGUCGGGUUGGCAUAGACCCUGGUUGCCCAGGGGGCGCCGGACAUCGCCCAGUUCAGACCAACACUUAGAGAAGCACUGGCCCCAGGGGGGGGGGUUAAAAAUAAAGAUGACCCUCGGGCUCGCGAAAACCCAGGGGAAAGUUAUAGGUUGUUAGGCAAAUGUAAAACCAAUGUUGGGCCUUGCUGCAGGAGUUUUAUUCAAAGCGAACUGUCAAGGCGUUCCCAUAACACCCAACCGCGUAAGGAACGCAAAAUCAAGGAGAAUAACACUAGUAUGACGGAAACUAGGGCGGCAAGAGUGGAACAAAACACCAGGCAUAAGGCCGAGCCUUCCACCCUUUACCAAGUAUAUAUAUGCAUUAAAAUUAAAUAAGAGAUAUUGUGAUAUCCCAACAUAUCCAUGUUCUAACAAGGAACAAACUUCAAAUUCACCUGCAACUAGCAACGCUAUAAGAGGGGCUGAGAAAAAGCGGUAACAUAGCCAAACAACGGUUUGCUAGGAAGGUGGGUUAGAGGCUUGACAUGGCAAUAUGAGAGGCAUGAUAUAACAAGAGGUAGGUAGCGCGACAUAGCGAUAGAGCGAACAACUAGCAAGCAAAGAUAGAAGUGAUAUCGAGGGUAUGGUCAUCUUGCCUGAGAUCCCGCAAGGAAGAAGAACGGGUCCAUGAAGAAGAUAAAUGGACGUAGUCGAACGGAUCCUCACAAACGGGACGUUACCGGAACUAUCGAGAAGAAGCACAACCGGAAAGGAGCAAACAACAUGGUAAACCAGCAAGCAUAAACAUGGCAUGAUGCACAAUCAAGUAUGAUGCAUGUCCGGUUUAAUGAGGCAUGGCAUGGAAAAGUGCACAAACAAUACUACAAAUUAAGUGGAGCUCAAUAUGCAACGAGUUGCAUAUUGACGAAACACCACAUUUGAUUAUUUAGUUCUCUCUCGUUUAUGUACCCAACAAUAUUAAAUGUUAUUAAACAUGUCAAGUGGUGAAGCACAACAAAACUACCUAUCUGGGCAAGUUUAAAUGAGGCCGGAAACAACGAACAACAAUUCCGGAAAAUCCUGAUAUGCAAAUUUUUAGAGUUGGUACUGUUCUGCACUAAACCAUACUUUGAGUUGUUAAACAUGCAAAGUAAUGCUACCAUGUUAAUCUAUGCAUUUUUCCACCCCAUUUACAUAUAAAGUUUAUUAAGUUUGGAGCUACGGUUAUUUAGUUAUGAAAUAAAUCAUUUUAGCAUGAAAAUUAUGCAAAUUAUAAGCAAACAUCAUUUUAAACAUUUUUAACAUGGAUGAAAGCUGCAUAUUAUGAAACUAGACAAAAUUCUAAGCAUUUUACAUAUUAAGUUUGUUUAAUUAUGAUGCAAUGUUGUGAAGUUAUUAAAUGCAUGAUCUAGAGGGACUUUUCUGUAAAACAGGAAAACCCUGGAAAAUUAGUUAAUCCGCAGACGCUGAAAAACAACACGUCAUGGGCCGAAUCUGAAGCAUGUUGGGCCAGUUGUAGGAAAAAAGGAGGGGCGCUGGGGAGCUCACCCAUGGGCCAGGCCCAACUGGCA
rnacentral:lncRNA from 1 species